rnacentral:rRNA from 1 species
GUCCACGCCGUAAACGAUGAGUACUAGGUGUUGCGGGUAUUGACCCCUGCAGUGCCGCAGCUAACGCAUUAAGUACUCCGCCUGGGAAGUACGGUCGCAAGACUAAAACUCAAAGGAAUUGACGGGGCCCGCACAAGCGGUGGAGCAUGUGGUUUAAUUCGACGCAACGCGCAGAACCUUACCUGGGCUUGACAUCUGCGGAACCUUGUGGAAACACAGGGGGUGCCUUCGGGAGCCGCAAGACAGGUGCUGCAUGGCUGUCGU